GCCGGGUGGUUCUGUGAGACCCCUCGAGGGAGGCUCCAGCUUCAAGUUCUAAGGCAAGCCGCUAUAGUGACUGCCCAAGACUGUGGGCAAGGUCCCUGCCCUGUGUUUUCUUCUUCUUCCCCCUGUAGUGACCCGUCCCAGCUCAAAUAGCCAGGAAGGAAAUGAGAGAGCAAGUACCUGGCUAGAAAGACAACAAUAAUAACUCACAUUUGCAUAGCAUUAUUUAGUUUGGAACACACUUUCGCCUCUAUUAUAUUAAUUGGUCUUUUACCUGUGUGAGGUAAUAAGUGUGCUGUCCUUUUGCCCAUUUAGACAGAUGAUAAAGCUGAGACUCAAAGGAUAAUGUGCUCCCAAGAGACAAAAUCGCAUCCCAAAUUCGGGGACAUUAAGACAUAAACCAUGUCCCAAAUUCUCUCCAAAUCAGCUCCUUCCUUCACCGCACAUCACUGAAUCCCAGAGACUACUGUCUCCCAUUCGUUUUGAAGCUGCUUUUUCUUACUUCCAGAUCCACCAGAUAAAGAAAGAAUAUAUCAACAAAGACGGGGAAAGACGAAAAUGGUUGUUCAGCGAUCCAUUCACGUACGUGUAGUUCAUCUCCAAGGCUUCCAAGAAAGCAGCUGCGCACCAAAUCCCUUCCGACGCUGUCUGUAUCUGAGCCUCCUGGGAGAUAAUCCUCUUAAUGGAAUAUUUAAGAAAUCGGAUAUAAAUCACCAACCUUUUAUCUCACCUGAAGAUCCGUCCUCCAUAGGGCGGAUGAUGGCGGAUGGCGCAUACGUCUAUCUACAUACGGAAAUUAAUGAGAAAAACGAACACAGCCUGGCAGAAAGCGGUUGUGUUGAACUUAUCAAUGACAGGCCCUGGGAGACAUUUGAGAGUUCCUUCGGGAUGCCUGAGGAAAGUUCUUCAAGAUGUUAGAAUUUUACUUUAGACAUCCUGGAAUGCAAAUCCAUCCUGAUUCCAAGAGCUUAUCAACACUCUGCCUGGUCCCGAUGGUUCUUCCCAUUGCCACAGGGUCAAGGUUACAAAGGAAAAGUGAGCUUUUGACUCAGAGGCCCAGGCCUAGGCCCAGAAGUGAGAGGACCAGAGUACAGCUCCUGCUGGGAGUCUGGCAAAGCAAAGCUGCAAGCCUUGUUGAGAAAUCGCACACGCGUGAUGUUUCGUACCUUUGAGUUUUACAGGUAAUACCUCUUCAAAAAUAAAAAUAA